UCCAACUCCUACGUCAACCUCGCCAUCUUCCAGCCGGACACCGGCCGCGCCCACGUCGCCGCCGUCGUCGGCGCGGACGCCGAGCGCCUCGUCCACCUCUUCUGCGUCGUCCCCAGGCAGAAGCUCGUCCACGACGACCUGCUCUUCCACUACUCCGACCAGGACCUCGUCGACGACCUCGCCAGCUCCGAGGCGUCGCUCCGGGACGCCCGCCGCGGCGUGUUCGACGACGCCCAGCCGUGGAGGCGCAAGAUCCAGCGCCUCAUCCCGCCCGACGGCAUCACGGUCAAGCACAUCAGGUACUUACUACUACCGUGUCACUGGAGUUUCUGUGCCAUCCAAAACAGUUCACUCUAUCUAUAUUGCUUCAUCAACAAUUGCAUAGAUGAUAAAUGGAAUCCCAGCAACGAGCACGAGCACGAGCAGCUCACAAACGGGCAGCAAUCAUAUUAUGCUCCACCCACCCACUAGGUGAAAAAUAAUCUAUGCAAGCAAAAUGUGGACAGUAGCUUCAGACUUUUUCUUUCUUUCCUUCUUUUCCAUUGUUGUUUGUAUGUACUCCGUAUGUAAAGCAUGCUCACAGACCGAAUCAGACAUCAAACUCACCAAUAGUAUAUAUAUCAUGAUGAGGUGAUAUAUUGUAACCCCACAAUUGAGGUCUUCUUAUUGAUCAUUUACAGUUGCAGUACUUGUUUUAUAGGACCUAUCUUGUAACCAAACAAUACACAAUACAAUACAUACCAAACCAGACCUUAUCUAGUUUGGUUGAAAAGUAACAGAGACUACCUAGCUAGUUUAUGAAACCUCUUAACAAUGAGUCUCAAGUCUACAAGUCUGUGGCGUUUCAGUUUGAAGACGGCAGACCUGAAUUGCAUCUUUGUACUGCAGGACAGGAGAGGAUGUGGCGCUAUCCAGGCGCAUAGCAGCAACGUUCCUCCUCAUGACCAUAGCAGACUUCAGUGACCAGCUCUUCGACUGGCAGGACCGCCUCUUCGACAACACCAACGGCCGCCUCGAGUUCAGUGGCAACACCUGGACCUCCCUCUGGCCUGGCACCGGCAAGCCUGGCCUCUGGGUCACCUCUAGCUCCCGCAUGGGCGCACUCUACACCUUAAUCAUCCGCGAGGAGGAGAUAUACAUCACGCAACGAGCACAUGGCAUCAGCCGACAAGGAAGCAAUGGCUCUGCUGGACGAGAUGAGGACAUCGACCUGGUGAUCCCCCCGGUGUUCAAAGGCUGCACCAAAGUGCUCAACGCUGAUGACCAGAAGGUGGCACGAGACCUCUACUGGGAGGCAGUAUGCAGCGGCGAUGAGGCGUCAGACUGGCUCAAAGUGGAGGAGCUCCUUCAGCAGAGCAUUGCCAAGAACCCAUUUGUAGGAGAACCACACUUGGUGCUUGCACAGGUGUACCUUAACAUGGAGAGGUAUGGCGAUGCGCAGAUGCAGGCAGAGGAAGGUCUCAAGCUGUUGCUGGAGUGGGGCAGCAGCUGGGACAAGAGAAUGACAUGGGAGGGGUGGGUGUCUUGGGGCAGGGCGAUGCUGACCAAGGCCAGCGAGAAGGAUUGGCCUCAUACUGCAUUCGGCAUCAUCAACCUAGGGCUUGUCAAAUGAUCAGGACUCAUCCCCAAAUGGCGGAUGGAUGGUUAUGUAGGCUGCAGCUGCCGAUGCUGAUCCGACAUGUCAUCUUCUCAGAAUAUGUAUAUCACCUGCUGUAUUUGUACGAAAUAAUAAACCCAUGGUCAGUCAAAAUGGACUAUGCUAGAAAAUAAGGAAACUAGUCUAUUCAUAGGUUCAUCUUACCUAAUUUAGUUCAGCCGCCGCUUGUACUUGGAUAUUCAGAUAUUAAUGUGAAAUAAAGCACUGGAAGUGAAACAACAUAACCCAUUCCAUCGUAUAGAUAGACUGAAAGUGGAAUAUCUCCUCCUUUUCCGUUCCUGAAGGAGACUGCUAAUUGCAAAGAAUUUUUUGAGAUUUAAUUCAACAACAAUUAAGCCUUUAUGGCACUAUUGGGUCUUCACACUUGAUGCAACAAAUUGGUAAUUAUCCUAUAGAUCUAGUAUUGACGAAGAUGCAUCAUCUACUCAAAGGUCACAACAAAAUAUUCAGAUGUGUUAUCAGCACAUCAAACAUAACUUGUCUGCAGCAAACACCGAUCAUAAAAGAUAUCCAGCAUAUGACUAGUUUGCAACUCUUGAAGCUGUUCAUGAAGUAGUCUUAUCCAUUUCUCUCCUUCUUCUUUUUUCUCUAAGUAAGCAGGAGAUCUGCGUGUCAUUUCUUUAAGAUAGAGUAGUCUUGUCUAUUUCUUCCAAAAAAUUUAGAUGUGUUAAAAACUAUAGACAAGCAUAGACGCAAAAGGCAACACGAAUAUCUAAACUGUAGGUUGCCAUUUGGGCCCCUAAGCUUGAUGACUACAUAUUAGAUGUUGAGACUUGAAACUUGUAUAAGCAAGGUAUGUUCAAAACCAAACGGAAAUCAGCAACUAUUGAUGUUAGGGCUUUUUAAAAUUAAAUUAUGUAUCGUACGAGUCAAACUCCAUACAGAAAAGGGGGUAACAGUAGAGCUGAACUAUGUUCUUGCUAAGUCCAAUCAAUAGAACGCAAGGAAAAGUUGUCCAAAGAUACAAGAAACACUAUUCAAGUCUAUGUGUCAGAUUGGCCUUUGAUUUUAUAGGAUGAGUUAUGUAGUUGACUGAACCAAUAUGUCCUAUCAACUAUCAUCUCUACUUACCGAUUAACUAGAGCAAACUUUUUCUUCACCGAGUCAUACAAGUACAGGUCAAGAAUGCAGUUUAUGAGUUCGGAUCCAAAAGAUAUAUGUAUGCAACUAUGGGAACAUAUGUUGCACUGUACCAACAUACAGUUUAUGAGUAGAGUUGGGCCUUGUUUAGUUCACCCUGAAAACCAAAAAGUUUUCAAGAUUUUCCGUCACAUCGAAUCUUGUGACACAUGCAUGACACAUUAAAUAUAGACAAAAAUAAAUACUAAAUACACAGUUUAGCCGCAAAUCACGAGACGAAUCUUUUGAUCCUAGUUAGUCCAUGAUUGGAUAAUAUUUGUCACAAACAAACGAAAGUGCUACAGUACCGAAAAGUUUUCACUUUUCGGAACUAAACAAGGCCUUGAUUGCAUUAGCAUCACCACAGAUAAGCACCAAGGCAUCAAGUAUAAAGCUAACUAGCUUGUCUAUCUAUAGCAAAACAUUCCACCCUUGUUGCCAAUCUUGGAGCCACGCACAACCACCAUUGUCACUUUAUCAGUCAGGACGGACCACGCACAAAGCCACGUGGUAGCACCAGAUUGGCAAACAGUAGCAAAAACACUCUCAGCUCGCGGAUGCCAGGAGCUAUAUGGAGUUUAAUAUAUUAAUAUUAAUAUGCAUGUUGAUGAACACAGAUAAAGCAAGCAUCCAAGUUUUCUUAUAGCAACAUACCCAUGGAAAACUCCAAUAACAACUAGAGCUUUUACUUUUUUCUUAUAGCAACGCACCCAUGGAAAACUCCAAUAACCAACUAGAGCUUUUAUUGAAAGAAUCAAAGAACAAGAUCUUCUUAACGACCAGUAAUAUAUCCAAAAUCUUGGUUGGAAACUCUUGAAGCCCUUCAUGAACCAUCCUUGUUAGUUUUAUCAGGAAAUGGUUGGGUUUGCUAACACAUCCAGACUCUUCACAUGAAUAGAAAGGUGGAAAGUAAUUUGUCUGUAGCAAAACCAACCUAAGAAAAGGCCAAAAAUCCUAGUCAUUGACACGCCAGCCACAUACUUAUUACUUCUACCAGAAAAGCUUGGAUGUAUUAACAUGCUCUCUUCAUACAUAAGCAUCAACAAAAGAGGUUGCAACUAAUUUGUCUAUAGCAAAACUACCCUGAGGAAAAGUCUAGCAUCCUAGUUGGCAGAUGUUAAUAGCCAGUUCACUCACCCUGAUUACCACUGCCUUCAUUAUUAUGUUGGACAGAUUAACACGCCAAGAGGAUUAUAAAUUCGCACCCACCCUCACAAGUCCCUAUCAGAUUCAGACAUCAUCACCUACUACAAAAUCUUGCAUCAGCAUGGCUACCCAACAAGGUUUCAGUUCUACCGACCUGAAAACCCAUAGGAAGAACCUACCAUCCCUCCUUGCAGUUGCUCAACCAUUCCUUCGCGGUGAGCUAGAGAAAAUCGACCCAGAGAUCCCAUCCUUUCUCUCCAUCCUACGCUCAGCCGGUGCCGGUGAGCGUCACCACAAGAACGGAGCAUUCCUAGCUCACCUGCUCAAUUUCCAUCGCAUUGUCCGACUGUGGGGUGCGCCCUCUGACAUUGCUCGAUGUGGCCUUUUCCACUCAUCGUAUGCCAAUUCAUACGUCAACGUCUCCAUCUUCGAAUCAAGCACGACCCGCGAGGACGUGCAGCGUCUCAUCGGUGCACCAGUUGAACGACUAGCUUUCCUAUUCUGCGCUGUCCCGCGCCACAAGCUCAUCCACGAAGAGCUCCACUUCCAGUACACCGACACGGAGCUGAGGGAUCACCUAGCUGCCUCUGACCUGUCCAUCAAGGCAGCUAGGGAGACUGGCACAUUUGACGCCUCUGAGGCAUGGCGCGAGAAGAUCUGCAAGCUUCUUCCACCAAAGGGCAUGGAAGCAAGGCACUUCAAAACUGGUGAACCCAUAUCACUUUCACGCAGGAUCAUAGCACUCUUUGUUCUGAUGACUAUCGCCGACAUCUGCGACCAGUACAUUGACUACCAAGACAAGCUGUAUGAUAACGAGAAUGGCCGGCUGGAGUUCCGCGGCGACAACUGGGGUGCUCUGUGGCCAGGAACUUGCAAGCCCGGUCUCUGGAUGAAUGCAGCAUCAAGGCUGGGAGUUCUGUACAACCUCAUCAUUAGAGAGGAAGAGCUUUACACUCAGGAGAGGAACAAGAUGGGAGAGACUAUCCGGCUCGACCGAGACGAAGAAAUCAUGCUGGUGAUCCCGCCGGUCUUCAACUACUGCACCAAGGUGCUGGAUCCCAAGGAGCAAAUAGCUGCGAGGGACCUUUACUGGGAGGCCAUAUGCAGUGAUGACAGGAAGGAAAGAGACUGGGAGAAAGUGGAGAAGGUCCUGUUGGAGAGUAUUCAGAAGAACCCGUUUGUAGGAGAGCCUCGCCUGGUUGCUGCACAGGUGUAUCUCAACAUGGAGAGGUACGCAGAGGCGAAGGAAGAGGCCGAGGAAGGGCUCAAGUUGCUGCUGGAAUGGGGCAUCAGCUGGGACAAAAGGAUGACAUGGGAAUCCUGGGUGUCUUGGGGCAGGGUGAUGCUGGACAAGGCCAAGGAGAAUGAGUGGCCUCAUACUGCAGCAGGCAUCAUCAACCUGGGGCUUGUGAAAUGAGCAGUCAGAACAUCAGUAGUAUUGUGGUAAGGUAAUAAUGCAGUAGUAACGAAUAAUUGUGGGCAGCAUGUCAUGCCCUUGUCUGAAGGGGGGGAAAAAAGGAAUAAUGUUAGGCACCAUUAGCCCAUCUUAAUAAGAGUGAGUGGCAAACGUUGUUUGGCCCUAUUGUCUGAGGUGAGCCCCAGUUGCGAUUUCGAACAUCACUGAAUGGAUGCAAGUUCCUUAUAAAUUCUAGUCUGAAGUAGUUGAAGCAAUAUGAAUGAACACUGAAAGCCAUAUACAUACGGCUUAAUGAAGAUAUCACAGCAUAGGAUGGGAUGGGAGCGCAUAUGAAAUGGAAAAUACGUAUAAUACUUUCAGAUGGUAUUAUUAGCCCUGGAAAAUGGUUGAGCAAAACCAUCUGAUGUACUAUAUCACACUGACGAUGAAAACAGAAGCAGCGAGACAGUCAUUUUGAUUGCAUUGCAUGCAUGCAUGCAUCUUGGGUAACCAUGUUUCUGGGAGACCGGUUUAUUUAGAAGAUAAGUAAAAGUAAGAUAUACUGGGACAAGAUAUGAUUUGAAAGGAAGGGAAAAAAACAUAUAUUAGUCACAACAUAGCAAUCGAACCUGUGAUGUGAAGAAGCAGGUGAGGACUGAUAACAAGCUGUUUCCAUGGCUGGCGCUUGAACCAGCAGGUUAGUGCGAGGAUGAAGUCAAGCCACUAGUUGUCCGAUCCAUCCGUCCCCAAUGCAUAUGCACGCCCGCGCGCAGAAAGAGUCACCGCCGGUUGAUAGAUUCUGAUUCUGAUUGUGAUAGGAGAAUGGAGAGAACCAUUUGCGAUUAAAAUAAGGAGGAGUCGUCAUAGUCACCUGCUCUGCUCCUGUUGGUAUGUGUUGUGGAGCGGCGGCCGGCGUGUCGGCGGCGGCGCGCUCGCGAGCCUCCGGCCUUGGGACUUGCGAGGAUGGGAGGGCGUUCUCGUUUGUUACAGCCAGGCUGAUGAAAGCGCAAGGCAGGCCAGGACGGCAUCCAAUGGGCUGUCAAUCAUAAGGGCCCAUAAUUUCUGUGGGCUGCCACUCCACCACACCAGAUGUGAUGUCUAUCAAAUCUGUAAGGAAAAGAGUUCCUAAGAAAAGAAAAAAAAAACACUGUAAAGAAGAGGAGAGAGAGAGAGAGAGAAGAGGACACAAGAAGCUGGGCCCUAGCUGGUAUAAGUACGUACGUACUAUGGUCCUGUAUCGGCGGCGUGCCACCAACUACUGUACAAGCGUUGUACAUCAUCAGCUGCAUUGGCAUUUGGCAGCAUGCAUGCAUGUAUGAUGAUAUGUCUUGAUGCUAUCAGCGAUGACAUAUAUAGCUAGAGCUAGCUAGCUACCAAGGCCCAUCGAUCGGUGUCAUCCGGAUCGUCUCAGUACGUAGUAUCGUCGAUCACGAGCGGCUACCUGCAGGGUGGCACGUUGCGUACAAACACGUACGUACUACUCAACAACAAUGCAUCGACACGUGGUAUGGGUAGCCAGCCAGCAGGGUAUGCAUGGUACGUAGUAAUAACAAUCUGACUAGAGAGUACGUGCCUCCAAGACAAAGUGUCCAAAAGGCUUCGUCUUCGGCCUAUAUCUCCAUCGUCAUUCAGUUGAGCGGCGGCGCACUGAUCACUCACACUCUGCCAGCAUCCAUCCAGGCAUCCACGGCUAGGCGUCUCAUCGUCGAUCCAUCCACCAUGGCCGCCGCCACCAAGACCAAGAUGAUGAACGGCGGCGCCAACAACUCCAGCAGGGAGGAGUACUCGGAGCAGCCGCAGCACACUGAGUCGGAGUGGGAGGCCGUGUCGUCCCUGCUUGACGCCGCUCGUCCCUUCCUCCGUGGCGAGCUGGGUUCGGCGGAGGACCCGGAGCUGCCAUCCCUGGUGGCGGUGCUGCGCGCGGCGGGCGCCGGCGAGUGCUACCACAAGCACGGCACGUUCCUGGCGCACCUGGAGGACGUGUACCGGAUCCUCCGCCUGUGGGGCGCGUCCGACGCCGUGGCGCGCUGCGGCCUCUUCCACUCCUCCUACUCCAACUCCUACGUCGACCUCGCCAUCUUCCAGCCCGACACCGGCCGCGCCCAGGUGAGGGGCAUCAUCGGCGCCGACGCCGAGCGCCUCGUCCACCUCUUCUGCGUCGUCCCCAGGCACCACCUCGUGUUCCAGCAGCUCCAGCCACGGUACACGGACCAGGAGCUGAGGGACCACCUCGCCGCCGCCGAGGCCGAGGCCGAGAUCGCCCAGCAGCCGGGCGGCUUGCUGACGACGAUGUC
rnacentral:lncRNA from 1 species